UCCUCCUAAUGAUUGCUGUAUGCAAGCUGGCACCGCUUUCUUGUUCUUCUCCUCCGGCUACUUCUCCAAGCUACUCCAUUCCUCCACCAUUCUCUCUCAAAAACAAAUCCUUAAACCCUAACCCUAAUUCACAUUCCCCAAACUGUAAAUAACCAUUAAAUUAAAUUCAUGCUCUAACCACAGGAAGAAAAAUAAAAUGCUUCGUUUAAUUUGUUACCUUUCAUUUCUUGUAGUAUCAAUGACAACCGUCUUUUCCGAUCAGGAAAAAUCGAUAUACGAUGUCUUAAAAGCGCACGGGCUCCCCAUAGGGUUGCUACCGAAGGGAGUGAAGGAAUUCAAGAUCGAUGAAACGGGGCGUUUCGAGGUACACUUGGAUCAGGCUUGCAAUGCGAAGUUUGAGAGUGAAUUGCAUUACGAUAUGAAUGUUACGGGCAGUUUGAGUUACGGGCAGAUCGGAGCUUUAUCGGGGAUUUCGUCGCAGGAAUUGUUUCUGUGGUUUCCUGUUAAAGGGAUUCGAGUUGAUGUGCCGAGUUCAGGUCUUAUUUAUUUCGAUGUUGGUGUUGUUUUUAAGCAAUUUUCACUUUCCUUGUUUGAGAUGCCCAGAGAUUGUGUUGCUGUUCGUAAUGGGGAAAUUGUAGCUCUUCGGCAUCGAAAGUUUAUUGCUGAUACGGUUGCCAAGAGUCAACCUGGGAAGUUAAGAUAUGAACUUGCUCAUGAGAAUUUUGGGAGGGAUUUCCUGUAGCGUGCGGAUAAGGUUACUUGUGGGUUAUCCAUUUCAUCUUGUAAAUUUCAUCAGCAGAGAAUCUGUUUAGCAGGUCUAAUGCUUCCAUCCAGUGUGUUUGCUUGGGUUCUUUUAUUAUGGAGAGUAGUGGAGAGCCAGCUCUUGUGACAUGGACGCUGUUUGGAUUUGAUUGAGUCGAAAGGGGAAAUUUGAGGAGGCAGCGGUAUGAUGAAAAUUGGCGUCCUGACUACAGAAGAUAAGGGAGACAGGAGUAAUUCGGUUGAAGUGAUUUCAGGUGUAAAUCUCGAGAGUCUCUACUGUCAAAGAAUUUGAGCUGAGGAUUUGACUCCAUUAUUUAUGAAAAUAGAAUCCUGCAACAAGAUAUAUCUUCCCUACUCCUAGGCUUUUUUCAGGGUUUGGGUGGUUGGCUAGGCAAAAUGAGCUGAGCUUUUAGUUUCAGGUUUUAGAAUUUGGUUCAGGAAUUAUGAAUUUAUGAUAUUCAACUGUACUAUAUUUCCAUGCACCGCUAAGUCUAGCAAGACUUAUAUGACAGGUUGGAGAAUCUAGCCUGUUUUAGAAGCAUACAAAAACUUUGGAUCAUAGAAACAGUCUGAUUAGGAUGUUGAGUUUCUUGAUUAUCAUAUUCAAUCAGCAUAAGCUGGCCUUACUUACCACACGGGAAGUGAUGGUCUGCCCUAUGUUGGUUCAUGACCCCAAAUUGCACAAUGCGAAUUAGUCUAUACCUUUGGUUAUCUAUGCGUCAAGUAAACCUACAGCCUUAUUGCCAUGAAAUUCUUCUAGGCCGGUGAUCUGGCAUCAGUAACCUAGAGGACCUAUGAAGUUGCUGCAAUGUUUGCACAGAAGGAGAUUUGCGGUUGAGGUAGUGAAUAAAACUAGACUGCCUAUAUUUAUUUUUUUCUCUUACUUAUUUAGGUGGAUGUUUAAUCUUAACAUUCUUAUAUGCUACAAUUUUU